UUAAGCAGCAAAUCACUCUGAACACACACCUGAUCUCAUCUGAUUUUGGAAGCUAAGGAAAAGGUCAGGUCCGGUUAGUAAAGAUACCAAGUAAGGCUAGGAAAGAAUCCUGCUUGAA
rnacentral:rRNA from 1 species